CUUCGCUCUCUUUUCUAUCUCUUGUGUACUUCCAAGCGGUGCAAUUUAUUUUAGCAAGAAUCACUGUGCUCCUCUGUUAUCGCCCGACCUUGGGCUGAUUCUGAAGGUGACUUGCCAUGGAGCAUCAGCCCUCCACUCCAUGGUGUAGAAAGCCUGCCCUGUGGCCCUGCCCUAAAUACACACUGUCUCUGGGCUCACACGGAGACAAAGACGUGGCAGCCAGAGCAGGAAAGAAAAAGCCAUCUUAAAGAAACAGAAUGCACUGGAUCCUGAAAAGUUUGACUACAUCCCAGAGGAUGUAUUUGGGGGACGACUACGCCAGUCAGAAUAGAGACUUGUCAGUUGUUGUUCAGUAAGCUGGAAAGGCUACGGUGGCGGUGUUCAUGCCCACCUUUCUCCUUAACUUAGGAACGAAUAAGUGUGUGACGUCAUCAGGUUCCACUUCCUCGACCACCACACCAUCUGCUAACUUCCUGUGUUCAGAUUCCGUGCUCAACAAGCUACCUCCCAAGUUCACCUGGCUUCCCAAGAAAAUGCAGCCACAGGGAGACCAUGGGCAGGGACAGUUUGCUGUCUCCACGUCUGAUCCUAUGAAAGCCUAACUUCUUUGGGGAAGAAGCCUGGGUCACCUCCACAGCUGUGUCCGCAUCUCCAUUUCCAGGAUGUGCUUGGUUGGUCGGCAUGCAGAGCUAUCCCAACCCUUGUGCAUCCUGGACUGUGCCACCCGCCAGCGCCAUGUGGCCUUGGCUGUGCUUAUCCUCCAUGAAUGCAACACAAGAUAAGAGCCAUGGGCAAUAAGGAGAUAGUAAGGUACUAAGUAUUAAAGGUCAUGCAUAAGUAAGAAGGAAAACUAAGGGUGUGUAUACAACCGUCUCAAAAGAGGGAGGGCAUCUAGAUAGUAUCCCACUAUACGCUCUCACAAUCUUGGUUUCUCCUAUAUCAAAUAAUUCCAUUUCCUUAAUUUCCCUCUUGGAUUUCAGUUCCCAGUUUUUUUAUCUGUUUCACUGUUCUCUGCCAUGCUGCUCUUGCCCCAGUGCUCCCACAGUAGAGACCUUCAUUGCAGGGAUUACCAUUUGGAGGUUCUCCAAGGUAAAGAUAGUAGGAAAGUUGAGGUUGACCAUCUAAAAUCCAGGGAUUUUUUUGCCACAACAGAUCAAUAAGCACUGGUUGUGUGCCUACUGUGUGCAAGGAGCUGGGUUAGAUGCUGUCAGGGAUCUAAAAAAGUUAAGCCAUCACCUCUGCCACUUAAGGAGGGGGACAUCCAUAAGACAGGGUUUAAAGAAGAGAAUGUUGGCUCGAAUGGGCAAUGUUCACUGGGAAAGCUGGGGCUGCUGUGUGGCCACCGGGACCAGGCGGAAUGGAUGUAGUGAGAAAAGUGAAGAAAGAAAGAAUCAAUGAGCUGGUCAGAGUAAGCCUGAACACUGAUUUCUGGACACAGACAAAAGAGAGGAGUGUGACCUAUGAUGGUUUCCAGAUUUGGGGGUUUUGAGAAACAAAGGAAACCUGUGCUGAUCCCGACAAAAGAGGGGAACACUUGUGAGGAGCUGGUUGGCCCGAGAACACACUAAUUCUGGGGGAAAGCAAGAGAACAUUUAGUACUACAGAUGAGAAAAUAAAACUGGGUAAUAUAGUUUUAUGAUUGAAACCAUGAGAAAAAAAAUAAGCCUAUCUAAAGGGGCAAGUGCACAGGGGAGAGGAGGAGGGAAAGGUCUUGGGGGGCACUCUGAGUACUCAGUUCUAGACGGAGGAAGGAGGGGAGUGGAGAGCCAAUGGAGUGAGCCCCGAAAGAGCAGGGGCAUGUCCCAUUCACCUUUGUAUAGAUCCAUGCAAUAAACAUGGCUCUGGCCCCUAGCAGGUGCUACAUAAAUGCUUUGCAAAUGUUGGUAGAGGGAUAUGGAAGUGCAAUUGUCAGAGAAGUGGGAAGAAAACCAGCAACAGAGCCAUGUUGCAUAAGUUAAAGGAGAAGAAUAAUUCAAAGUUGUUUGGGGGCUAAUGCUGCAUGGAGAAUUCUAAGAUUUCCUGAAGACCAAUGGUAACACCAGGGGAUCUAGCACCCAGGGUUCUAGAUUGCCUGGGUCUACCAGAGUGCUGGGGUGGGUGAGCCAGGCAUAAGGAAGCUUUGCCUCCAUAGCAGAGUCUGCAAAGACCGCCCCCCACCCCAGGGUGAUGUUGUCCCAUUUAAUAUGAAAAACAAUCCCAAGAUUUAUGACAUUUUCAAUUUAACUUUUGCACUGUUGUAAUUUUGACUCUGAGAUCUGGAAACUUCGAAUAAUACUUGGGAGUAGUCAAGCUUGUACGGACUCCUCUGACACUGUCUGGUUAUUCUAACCUCGACUUUGUAAAAAGGAGAAACUGGCACGGAAACUACCUUUUCAAAAAAAAGACUACUCAAAGAUACUGGAAGUUGUUUUCACAUCUCAGGGAAAGGUACUUGAUUAGAGGGACUCUUAACAAGAAGAACUGAAGAUCUAAGUAAAUAUUUCCCAUCUGCUCCUGGUCUCACCACCUGGCCGUUAUUCCUUCUGCUCUGUUGACAGGUUUCAGCCAACCAAUUCUGUUUUAUUUGUGCAAGUGGAGAGGCCACCUGUCGUGGAAUAUACUCACACAUUAAACAAAAUGAACAUUUCUUA